rnacentral:rRNA from 1 species
UACGUAGGGUGCAAGCGUUAAUCGGAAUUACUGGGCGUAAAGCGUGCGCAGGCGGUUUUGUAAGUCAGAUGUGAAAUCCCCGGGCUUAACCUGGGAACUGCGUUUGAAACUACAAGGCUAGAGUGUGGCAGAGGGGGUGGAAUUCCGCGUGUAGCAGUGAAAUGCGUAGAUAUGCGGAGGAACACCGAUGGCGAAGGCAAUCCCCUGGGCCUGCACUGACGCUCAUGCACGAAAGCGUGGGGAGC